rnacentral:lncRNA from 1 species
GGCUACCGGGGAUGAAAAUAUCAGUAUCUGAAGCAACGCAACAUUUUUGAAGCUCUUUUAGGGCUUUAAAGACUUCCUUUCCCUCGACGUAACUGCUGCCGAAGGCAGUGUGGGCAAUAAUAUCAGCAGUAAGCUUCUGAAAAUUUGCAUUCAUCUCUAUCUUGAUACGUUGCUCUUCAGUCAAUACAGCAAGAAUUUUCCACUCAUCAAGCAUUGAAAUGGUGCAUUCUGCCAUUUUCUUUGUCAUAAUCUGCUAGGCAAAAGACCAAUAGACGUAAAAAUUAAGGAAAAUUCUACACUAGUUUAUGAAAAAGAACUCAUGAUGAUGAUAAAUAUAUUAAAUGUUGAAUUUGAGACCUUGAGCUUGUCAAUGGAGAAAGCAGGAUUGAGAACCCUUCUGUGCCUGACCCAAUCCAAUCCCUCUACAAGAAUCAAUCCAUAACCGACGAGAUUUUGUAAAAUUGGCCUUGUCUUGGGUCUCCCAUAAAAGCCGAACUUGUUUGAUAGUAUUUGUUUGGCCAGCUCUGGGUUUGUUAUUGUGAUUCUUGGAUGUGUACCAUACCAGUAUAGCAGCGUAUCACCUGUGACAUUGAAAAUUACCCAUAACUGAAUAAAAUUUAACAAAGGGAGGAAAAGGAAAGGAAUGGAAAUUCUACAAAAUUAGAUGACUUUUAAUCGAGAUAACAAGGAGGCUUCUCUCAACAUUUUUUUAAGAAUAAUAAAUAAAUAUUUAAUUUAACUGAUUAAGAAUUUAAGAAAACAGUUUAAAAAAUAUUUAUGGUGAAAAUAUUUUUAUUAAUAAUACUCAUUAUCGCUGAUUUUUUAGAGAGUUUUACGAAAAGAGACAGGGCCAAAAUUCUUUAGAGUCCACUAAUGAGACCGAUCCAUCAGAACACCAUUCAACACGCGACUAAAACAAAUCGGGCUGACCAAGAGCCCAAACCUGUCAAAAGAGAGUCUAGCUCGUUUGAUGUCACGAAAAUAGGAGAGCAUGUUUAACUAUGUCGCAGCCAUAUCAGUCCGCGCAUCGGAAAAAAAUUAAAUAAUUAAUCGAUAAGAAUGAGCAGAUAAGUACUCCUGUGUGACGGUAAACAUUAUAAUAGAGUGACGGUUAUGUGUUACUAGAAUACAAGAGAAAAACGAAUAAAUCCCUCUAAAUUAAGUACACACUCAAAAAUUUUAUUUUCUCUUAGUAUCAGAACAGACGCCUUUUAGGAUUAUUAAAUAUUUAUUAAAUUUGUUAAUUUAAUUUUAAUUCUUCGAUUUCUUCUUUUAGAGAGAACACAUAAAUAAAUGUAAAGAUGGAUAUAAAUAACUUAGAAAGAGAUGAAUUAAAAUUUUAAAUUCCUAGACUUUUAGGAAUCAAGUUGUAAAAUAUCAAAUUUAAUCUAGGAUUUCGAUUUUUAAAUUUGAUUUAAACAUAUCUAUUUUACCAAUCAUUUUAUUUUUUUACUCCAAACUAAAUAGUGAUAUUAAAUAUAGAUGUGUAAAACAAUAUAUAUGUGCAUAUAUAAUUAGGUUUAUAUUUGUGUUUAUUUUUUACUACAAUAAAUAUUACAAUUAACAAUAAUAUUAAUUUUAUUACUAUAAAAAUUAAUACAAUAACAAUAUAAAUAAUUAAAAAUAGUGCACUAGUAUUUCAUCUAGAAAUUUCUCUAAAAAUAAUUAGAAACAUAGAUGCAGAUUGAAGUAGCUAAUAAUAAGAGAAGCUAAGACAAGUGGGAAGAGAUCUGACCGAACUCGGAGAACCAUUUGUGAUAGUGUGGGAGAACUCUGCUAGUGAUAUCAUGGCAAUUCGUAUCCAAAACCUUUUCAUUUGCAAGCUUCUUCAUCUUCUUUACUUCAUCAAGGCAACCAUAGAGAAGCUUGUAAGGUGGGCCUCUGAUUCCCUGCUUUUGAAAGGUCUUAGUAAUCGCAUAUGGCCUCCACACCACAAUCUUAAGAACCUCCCAAAGCUUUCUAACAAUUAAAACAAUCAGCAGACCCACCAACGCAACCGCUGCGUAACCCAUCAUCAAGGGCUACCUAAAGAAGUUGAUGAUAUGAAAAGAUUAGCAGCUGUAGUUGGUUUAUAUAAUCUACUGGGUAUCAGCAUUCACCACCAUGCACAGUUAUGGAGGCAAAAGUUGACGGUGAUAUCAUUGCUUUGGUGCGCAUGGAGUGGGGGACAAAUUAAUUUUGUGGAUGAUAUGGCUUCGUCUAUCGCUAGAUUUGUCAUUUUUUGAGGCUCUUAUCGGGCUGCAUGUCUCAUCAGUUCUGUGCCUGCACCGCACUCUCCCAGAACUGGAUGGAUAUAUUAAAUGCGCUUUGGCUCAUUUUCCAUUUUAAAUAUUUUUCUAACAAAUAUUUCAUUGCCCCAUAAAAAUUAGGGUGACUUCUAUUUUUCACGUUGUUUAUUAAGGAAUAUAUAAUAAAAUCAAUAAAUUUUGUUCAUUUCUUUCCUAAUGAACUUCUCAUUCAUAUUAAUUCACUAAAAAUUAAAUAAUUCAUAUUACUAAUUUAUACUUGAAAUUAAUGAAUUUUACCUUCAGAAUACAUAUUAAAUAGGAAUAUACUAACUAGUUAAUAAAUAAAGUAUAAUAUAAAAAGUAAUUUAUAUAAUUUGAGCCAAAUAAAAAAAAAAGAAAGUAAUUGGUAUGUCCUAUAUAAUGGAUGGAGCAUUUAAUUUAUCAUAAGAUAUACAAAAAAUAUUUUUUAAAUUACAUUUGAAUAUAAAUAACUGCAUACCGGUAAUGACAAUAUAAAAUUUAUAUAAUUUUAAAAUUCUACUUCAUUAAUAACAGGUGGUCUGUGCCUCAUCGAUGAAUUAAUCUGCAAUCUUUCUCACUAGUAAAUAAAAAAUAUAAUAAAAUUAUUAAAUAUGAAUAUCUGAAUUAUGAUUUGAUUUAAUAGGUAGAUGAAUAAACCGUAAUUUAUUUGAUAAGUAAAGAGAUUUCAUGUGAAUCUCUCCAUACUCGUUUUUAAAGAAAUAGCCUAUAAAAUAUAAAAAAAUAAAUUUAUCGAUAUGUCUCGAUAAGCAAUCUCACCAUUAACGCAUUAUUAAAGAAUACUAAGAAAUUAAUAUGAAAUUGAAAUAAUAUUGAGUGAAGAACCCACUUUUAUUGCAUUUAUAUGUAUUUGGUAUUAGUUGGAUUUCAGCUAUAAGACUUGCUCCACUCUUACCUAAGCAGAGAUUUAACGAUAAUGGGUAGACCAUAUUGGGGAUGCAGAGUAACAUGGUCGAUUGGGGCGUGUUUAUACUCAGGGGAGAGGGAUAGGGAAAAUCUUUGAAGAAUCAAUGCAACCACAGUUUUUGCUUCCAGCAUUGCAAAAUUCUGCCCGAUGCACACUCUGGGACCUAUUGAAAACGCCAACAAGGCAUUCGGGUGUUUUCCUGCCUUAGAGACUCCAUUGGCGAACCUCAAUGGCUUGAACUCAUUCGCAUCCUCUCCCCAGUAUUCCUUGCUCCUGUGAAUCUUUACAAACGGAAUUGUUAAACAUGUUUCUUUUGGUAUCAUCAAAUUCCCCAGUUUCAUAUCUUCUGGUGCCUUCCUGAUCAACAUUAUCACUGGACAGUACAAUCUCAGAACCUCGAGCAGGAACAUGUUAACAAAUUUUAACUUAGAUAGCAUGUCUGCAUCAGGAAUUCCCAUCCCACAUUCCUUCAACACUUCUUCUCUAAGUUUUUCGUGCCAUUCUGGGUGUGUGCUCAACAAAAAGACUGACCAAGUUAGUAAACUGGAUGUGGUCUCGUGCCCAGCAAAGAAGAAUGAUUUGCAAUUUUCCAUGAUUUCCUUCAUGUUCAACUUUGGAGUAACUUUAGAAUCGCCAUCAGCUUCUGCUACUGAAGAUUCAAUCAUUAUACCAAGUAGAUCGUCCCCAUAAUGACCAUCUGUAGCAGCCUUUGCACUUAAUCUACUUUCUAUGAUAACCUUCAAUGAGUUCUUCAGCUUCCUGCUUAACUUCCACGUCUGAAGAUUCGAUGGCGUAGGCAGAUACCUACAAGGACCCAGAAUCAGAAGAAGAUCAAUAUAUUGGCCUGGAAGUGUAAGGGAUUGAAUAAACAAUUAGAACAUGGUUAGGGUUCAAGUUUAUUACUGGCUACCGGGGAUGAAAAUAUCAGUAUCUGAAGCAACGCAACAUGUUUGAAGCUCUUUUAGGGCUUUAAAGACUUCCUUUCCCUCGACGUAACUGCUGCCGAAGGCAGUGUGGGCAAUAAUAUCAGCAGUAAGCUUCUGAAAAUUUGCAUUCAUCUCUAUCUUGAUACGUUGCUCUUCAGUCAAUCCAGCAAGAAUUUUCCACUCAUCAAGCAUUGAAAUGGUGCAUUCUGCCAUUUUCUUUGUCAUAAU